CCCCCUGAAUUUAAGCAUAUUAAUGAGGGGAGGAAAAGAAACUAACCAGGAUUUUCUUAGUAGCGGCGAGCGAAAAGAAAAUAGUUCAGCACUAAGUCACUUUGUCUUUAAUGGCAAAUGUGAGAUGUAGUGUAUGGAAUGUUCAACUCUAGUAUGAGAAAUUAGCGAUUUAAGUCCUUCUUAAAUGAGGCCAUUUACCCAAAGAGGGUGCUAGGCCCGUAUAACGUUAAUGAUUACUAGAGAACAAUUCCAAAGAGUCGUGUUGCUUGAUAGUGCAGCACUAAGUGGGUGGUAAACUCCAUCUAAAACUAAAUAUAACCAUGAGACCGAUAGUAAACAAGUACCGUGAGGGAAAGUUGAAAAGAACUCUGAAUAGAGAGUUAAAUAGUACGUGAAACUGCUUAGAGGUUAAACCCGAUAAACCCGAAUAUCCAUUAUGGAAAAUUCAUCAUUAUGAAUUAUGAUAUUUAAUAAAUAUUAUAUUAAUGGGGUGCAUUUUUUCCAUAUAAGGACAUUGUAAUCUAUUAACAUUAAAAUUUAUCAUAAAAUCAUUGGCUUUAAAGUUUAUUCAAAUUAUUAUGCUUGCAUUUUAACACAGAAUAAAUGCUCUUGAUUUGAUAGAUUGUUGAUAGAUUUAUAUUUAUAUAAUGCUUAAAUAUAUUUAUAUAUUUUAUAAUAGCAUAUAAAUCAAUAAUUUUUAUGUUUAUUAUAUGAACUUAUAUGAUUUACAAUGCGAAAGAUUCGGGAUACCUUCGGGACCCGUCUUGAAACACGG
rfam:Glossina austeni unplaced genomic scaffold Scaffold642, whole genome shotgun sequence.